GUCAGCAAGCUUCUGUGGGGUUAGAAUGAGCCCUCAUGCAGCAAAGGAGAGAGAUGCAGUGUUUAGAGUGAAAUGCUACUGAUAUGCCAAGAACCAUUUUCUAUAGCCGCAGGUGAAUUCAUGGGUGGACCUAAGGAAGAGGGACCAACUGUGGACACACAUUUAGGCUAUGUGGGAAUCAUUGAUCAAAGACUUAAUAUUUUCAGAAAUAUGAUUUUUUGGAAGUGGGCAUACAGUUUUCUGAUAUAUCUGUGGAUCAAGAGAGGAUCACAACUGGACCUGCUGUAGUGACUACUGCUCAUCACUUAGAGAUCAUGGGUUUGAGGGAUGGGUCUUGACUUUAUGGAAUUUUAGGGUUAUCUCCUUUUGGAAGGAAAGAAAUGUCUUUUGCCUUGAAAACAAAAAUGAACCAAGUUGAUAGGCAUAAAGUAGACUGUCUGGCAUUGAUGUUGUUCACUAAAUAUUUCUGUCUCUCUUCA